AUGAACGCUGGCGGCGUGCUUAACCCAUGCAAGUCGAACGAUGAAGCUCAGCUUGCUGGGUGGAUUAGUGGCGAACGGGUGAGUAACACGUGAGUAACCUGCCCUUAACUCUGGGAUAAGCCUGGGAAACUAGGUCUAAUACCGGAUAGGAGCGCCUACCGCAUGGUGGGUGUUGGAAAGAUUUAUCGGUUUUGGAUGGACUCGCGGCCUAUCAGCUUGUUGGUGAGGUAAUGGCUCACCAAGGCGACGACGGGUAGCCGGCCUGAGAGGGUGACCGGCCACACUGGGACUGAGACACGGCCCAGACUCCUACGGGAGGCAGCAGUGGGGAAUAUUGCACAAUGGGCGAAAGCCUGAUGCAGCGACGCCGCGUGAGGGAUGACGGCCUUCGGGUUGUAAACCUCUUUCAGUAGGGAAGAAGCGAAAGUGACGGUACCUGCAGAAGAAGCACCGGCUAACUACGUG
rnacentral:rRNA from 1 species